rnacentral:rRNA from 1 species
UACGGGGGGGCAAGCGUUGUUCGGAAUUACUGGGCGUAAAGGGCUCGUAGGCGGCCAACUAAGUCAGACGUGAAAUCCCUCGGCUUAACCGGGGAACUGCGUCUGAUACUGGAUGGCUUGAAUCCGGGAGAGGGAUGCGGAAUUCCAGGUGUAGCGGUGAAAUGCGUAGAUAUCUGGAGGAACACCGGUGGCGAAGGCGGCAUCCUGGACCGGCAUUGACGCUGAGGAGCGAAAGCCAGGGGAGCAAAGCGGG